rnacentral:ncRNA from 1 species
CCAAAGGCUCUUUUCAGAGCCACCCACACAUCUCAGUAAAAGAGCU